CAAGCGUUACUCGGAAUUACUGGGCGUAAAGCGUGCGCAGGCGGUUGUGCAAGACCGCUGUGAAAUCCCCGGGCUUAACCUGGGAAUGGCAUUGGUGACUGCACGGCUAGAGUGUGUCAGAGGGGGGUAGAAUUCCACGUGUAGCAGUGAAAUGCGUAGAGAUGUGGAGGAAUACCGAUGGCGAAGGCAGCCCCCUGGGAUAACACUGACGCUCAUGCACGAAAGCGUGGGGAGCAAACAGG
rnacentral:rRNA from 1 species